rnacentral:lncRNA from 1 species
GCCUGUUGUUACACAAGCUGCUUUUGGUAAUUAUUCUGCAGCAGUUAUGAUGCGCCUGAAGCCGCAGCUGCAACAUACAUGUUCUGAUCCUGAUUAGGUGCCAUCGCAUAUCCGUAUCCGCCAUGCCCUUGCUCUCCAAAAUAAGCACCAUUCCAUUGAUUAUAUUUAUGAUCCCCUCUCCACUGCCAAACACACAAAUUUAAAAAAUAAAUAAUGCGGCCACAUGAAAAACAAAGCCAUUUUAAAUAAUAAUAAUAAUAAUAAUAAUAAUAAAUAGAAGUUGCUAUUGAUGGGAAAAAGCUUGUGUAUUAUGUUGAUAUAAAAAUAAUGCCAAUGCCCAAAGCUGGUUUAUCUUUAACAACAGUUUGAAAUAUAAUCAAAAGCAUUUGAAAAAUUGGAAGCUAGAUGUGGAAAAGUUACAAAUAAAUACUUAUGUCUAUGAUUCUGUUAAAUGAUUGCUUGCAAAAACUGCCAUGCUAUGACAAGUUGAUAACCUAAAAUACUUUCAUCAUACCAUGCAAAAUAGAACCUUAGCUUUGAGAAGGCACAGAUAUGAAAUCAAUAAAAUUAGAUAGCCCUCAAGGAUUACGGAACUCAUAGUACAUGCUCUGCGCUCAGCCUUAUUUACCUGCUUGUUUGCUGGACUGCGUCCCCAAGAGAGGCGAACAUUUUGCUUUCCAAUUGUUGUGCCAUUCAAACUCUGCAGCGCAUCCUCAGCACUCUUUCUGUGAUCCAAGACAAACACAAUAGGGUCAUUACAUGGCUACAGAAAUCAAAGUCAACUUUAUGUUUCCUACCAUCCCUAACACUAUAACAUUAAUUAUAUUUAAACAUAACUACUACGAAAUAGUCUCUUAUCUAUACUAUAUAUAAAUGAGAGAAGCGGGAGGGAGAAUAAUAGGAUUUCCUAAAUACCCAUAAAAGCUUAGUAUUAUUACAAUAAAAUAAAAAUUCUUAAUUUGUUAUUAAACUAAAUUAGUUUAAAUUUUAAUUUUGUAUUGAUAAAGUUUAUAUGAACUUAAAAUUCUUAAUCAUAUUUUUAUUAAGUACUUUCUUCAUUAAUUUUUUAUAAUAAAAUUAAAAAAUUAUAUUGCUUCAAGCACUCUACAACUCUAAUCGUAUUUUAUAAAAUAAACAAAGCUUUUUUUUUCUACUAAAUUAAUUGAGGCAUAUAAAAGCAAUGAAAAACAAAUAUUUAUCAUAUUAAUAAAUUUAGCAUUAUUUAUUGAGAAUUAAAAUUUCAUAAUAGCAUAAAUUUAAAUAUGAAAUAGAAACUAUUUAAUUAAAUAUUAAUUUAAUAGAAUUCAAAUUCACACUACUAAUUCAUUUAUCAUUAUUAAUAAGAUGUUAUGCAACAGUAUAUUUCUUACACGUGGAAAUUAAUUAAUGAAAAAUUAUAUAGUAAAGGAUCGUACCUGUUAGCAAAUUGCACAAAACCACAUCCUUUCCCAACUGGUAUUUUCACAGACACAACUUCACCGAACUGGGAAAAAGGCUGCCUGAGAUCCUCAUCACUGAUGUCAGAGUCAAUUCCUCCCACAAAUAUCUGUGAAAUUACAUGAAUGAGGAAAUGCAUAUAAUUGUGUACAGCGAACUCAGCAAGAAAGAGCCCAAACUCACAGUUGUAUUAUUAGAAUCUCCAUCAGAUUGGGCUCCUUGGGCAACAGCACCAUUUGGAGCAUGUCCACCAGCCAACACCAAAGCUAAUGAUAGGAAGUGCAAACAUAUUUGGCUUUAAAAUUCUAUGUGAGAAUAAAUAAGAAGAUAGUAUUUUUAACAUCAAAAUUCCAAACAGUCCUAUAACUAGUUAGAGUUUCUCCAACAUAAGGGCCCAUGAUAUCCAAGCAGAGGCACAGAAACUGCAAAAAUGCAACUGGCAUACAAAUUUAAGGAAAAAACUUAAAAACCAAAGGUACAAGGUGCUCAGUAGAGAAUAAGCCAUCAAAUAAACAUAAAUAUUUAAGUUAAUAUAAACCGGUUGUCUAUAAUCCAUCUGUGACUUUGUUUUACUUUGUACAGACAACAGGCUCAAGAGGGAGACUACGGCGUAAUGUAAAUUACUCCAUUUGUGAUCUAGAGGUCACAGUUUGAGCAACAAAAACAGCCUCUCUUCAAAGUAGGUAAGGCUGUGUGCAUCAACUCCAACUCUCCUCCAAAGCCCACAAGUGUAGGAUGAUUCAUGCACUGGGUCACCUUUCAUUAUGACAGGUUUAGUAAUAAAUAGAUAAUCCCAUUACUGAAUCUCAACUUGCAUGAGACCCUUUUCCAAUAAAAGAAUGAUGACAGGUUUAGUAAUAAAUAAAUAAUCCCAUUACUGAAUCUCAUCAUGCAUGAGACCCUUUCCCAAGAAAAGAAUAUUGAUAUUCAGCAUUUCCAAAACCAAAGAACACAACCUUUGGUAGACAGUAUUAGUAUAAUAGUACAUGAUUAAACAAAAAAAGAGAGAACAAGAUUUAAGAGAAUCAACUGAAUUUCCUUUGGCAAUUUUAUGGAAUAUUUUGCGUUGGUGACUUAAUAAGAGAUUCUAUGUAAUGCCUGUCUCUUCUAUUUUUAUCAGGUAUCAUUUUAUGGCACAUACAUAAAAGGACAACAAGUGACUUGACAUGUAGGUUUUAAUUGUAACUACAUGCAAAGAUAGCAGCCUAUGCCCCUAUGCCUAAAAAGUAAAACACCAUAUAUGAUAAAGACAUCAAAAUGGAAGCUAGCAUAUUAGAAAAGUAUACUUAUUAUAUCUAGCCACUCAUACAAGAGUAAAAAAUAUUAAACAGCAAAGAGUGAGUUAUCAAAGCUAUUAAAAAGGAGAGCAGUUUGUUCACUCCUUGUAGUCUUAGAAAUCACAAACAACUAGACACUAAUGCAACCACUGAACCAUAACAAAUUUCUCAAAAAUAAAAAGAAUGAUAAAUGAGAAGGAAAUAGGAGAAGAAGGGCAGAACAUAAGAAGAGGAAGAGCAGGAGUGAGGUGAUUGCUCUUUGCUAUGAUUGAUUUUUGUUAAGUUUUCAGAAAGAGAGGGAGAAGGAAGGAAGAAAAGAGAAGGGAGAAGCACAAAUGACUGCAUUUUUAAUUCAUUCCACUCAAUUAAAUGAUAUAUAGCGACAUGUUACUAAUAAAUCAUAAAUCACACUCAAGAUUUUGCAAAUCGUCUCUUGAUUUUCUUAUAAUCAUGAGAUUCUUCAAUGCAAAAUAUCUCAUGUUACAAGGAAAAAUCUAAUCAAGUCCAACACUUCCCCUUGUGAGAUUUUUGCUGAAGUUAUAGGUACAUCAUCAAGCUUCUCUCUUUUUCUUAUAUUAACAAAAAAAAAAAAAAAGCUGGCAAGUGGAAUUAGCCAAUAGCAAGUCAAGAAAACAAGCAGGUCCAGCAAAAAUACGAUCCAAACAGAAUAAAUUUCUGAAGCUGUAGUUAAAAGAUUUAAGGAAAUCAAGGAACCCAAUGAUCAGAAGAGGCUUUUCUGGAGUUAACUCAAUAGAGUAGAGGUUGCUGGUGAUGACAGAAUCAGAAAGAAACAGUCAAACAGCAGUGGGGAACCAGAGAAAUAGAAAGAAAGGAAGGAAAAAGAAAAGCAGGGACUUAAACCCUCAGCUCAGAUACCAUGGUAUGUUUUUAGAAAGAGAAGGAAAGAAGAAAGAAAGAAGAAGGGGAAAUGUUCAGAUGACUACAUCUUUAAUUCACUUCACUUUGUCUUUUACAUGAUAUGUAGAUCUUGAAAUUUAUAAUGGAAGAUAUAUGCUACAUAUAGAAUGUUAUUAAUAAAUCACAAAUUAAAGAUUUUGUUAAUCUAUCUUGAUUAUUCUCAUAAUCAUGAGAUUCUUCUAUGAGCAUAUCCCACACGUUAAGAAAACAUCUUAUAAAUAAAAAAUACAAUGGUGAAUGGCCUAUUUUCUGAAUGAAAAAAUUGAAAUGAAACACACAUGUAAACAUGCUAUGGAUAAUGGAUAGACCAAAUCCAUUUUUCAAUAGAGUUCAAAUAUUGAACAAAUUUAUCAUCUAUAGCAAUUUUUAUGCUCAUCUUAUUGUAGCAUUGUUUGUAUUUAUCUUAUCACAGGAGUAAAUAUGUAAUUUUCAAUAUUUGAGUAGGACACUUGCUAUAAGCCUUCACUAUAAAUAAGACCAAUUUAUCAUGAACAAAAGAUAAGCAGAUUAAUAACAAACAUAUUUGAGAUUUCAUACUCUCUCGUUAACGAUUUUGAAGUGUUAAGAGCUCUCUUCAAUGAGCUCUUUUCCUAUCAAUAGUCCAGUGAUGCAAUCCAUAACCCAGAAAUCAUAACAACUUGGCUCGAGCAGGAAACCGAAACCCUUACUUAGCGAAAUACAAGAACAAAAUAAGUCUAGAUUGGUUCAACUAAAAACAAGGAUGGAAGCUAAAAUUGCUCUAUUCAAGUCUCAGAUACAAAAUGUCUCAACAUUUUGCAAAAUUUCCAAGCAAUACCAAUAACAAUUGCAACAAAGACUCAGAUGCAGGUAUAGGCAGCAACAAUAGUAUUUCGAAUGGAGGCAUUCAAAUUGAAGAUAGUCCUAACAUUAGGGUAGAAGCAAAGAUGACAUUCAUAGAUCUACCACAAGCAUUUGAAUGCAAGCAACAAGUGGAGAGAUGUAGUGGAUGGAAGAGAACUCCCUAGUCCACUGCACAAUCUAGUUGCCAUGGUCCGGGGUCAUGGAUCGCAUCGCAAGAUGAUGGAUAGGGAAGGAGCUCUUAACGCCUCAGAUUCCUUAACAAAGAGUCUUAUCUUAAAUCUCAAAUAUGCUUGUUAUUAAUUUGCUUGCCUCUUUUAUUAAUGAUAAAUUGGCCUUAUUUACAGCAAGAGUCCUACUCAAAUACUUAAAAUUAAACGUAUCUAUUCCUAUGAUAAGAUAAAGAUAAAUAAUGUCGCGAUAAGAUAAAGAUUAAAAAAAAAUGCUAUAGAUUAAACUAGUAUAUUUAUGUCUCCAAUUCAAUGUUAUAAUAAUGCAACCCUAACAGUUUUUAUUCUAGAUUUCAAAAUACACAAUUAAGAUCAUUUGCAAACAAAAUAUUAAAAUUAGAAUUCCAAAAUGCAAACAAUUAAAUGUGGAGAAUUAAAAUUCACAAUAUCAUAAAGCUCAUAUAAUGUUAUAGAAAUAUCAUUACCAUGUUAUAAAUUUUCGGACUUGGAUAUCUUUUAUAUCACCAUUGAGGUAGUUAAGGGUCUGUUUACUCAUCGAAAACUGGAGUAGUUUUCUAGAAAAAUUUUCUAAGGAAGCUGGAAAAUAGAGCACUGCGUGCAUAUGAGCCAAUUUCCAAAAUGGAAAAGUAAAGAACUAAUUUUCUUGUUUUCCUAAGUUAAACAAAAAUUUGGAAAAUAAUUUGAAAUUUUUUUCUACUAUUUUCUUUUAUAAUAAAAGUUAUACUUUCCAACUAUUUCCAAAUGAAAGAUAUUGAUAUUUUUAUAACUAAAAAUAUAGUACAUGUUUCAUAAUUACAAUUAAAAACUUAUCUAAAAAUAUUUACUUUCAAUAAUUAAAAAAAAAAACUAUAUUAUCAUAAAAUAAAUAACACAUAAAAAAAUUUUAAAAGUAAAAUAAGUUAUUAAAUAUAUUUUAUAAUGACUUAUUUUCUAUUAAUUAUGAAAAAUAUGAAGAUUUUUGAAUUAAUUAUUUUCUAUUGUUGAUAGGUAAUUGUGUUUCUAUAUUUUUUUUCUUAUUUUAUAUGAAAAAUGAAAACUAGAGUUUCCUUAGAAAACAUAAAAUGGAAAAUGGAAAAUCAUCAUGCACAAGUAAAUAGGGCAUCAUAUUUUUUAAAUGAAAUUAAAUAUUAGUAUUCUUACAGGAAGAACUGAAGAUCUGUGUUUAGUCUUGCAUCAAUAGAUUAAAUGCUAUUUUCAGUAUCCAUAUGCAACCUGAAUAAUCUAUUCAGUUCCCACUUCACACUGAGCAAUCCGAAAGAAACUCACCCACACCACAACACACUUAUAUAUUAUGACAGUUUAUGUUUCCAUUUAAUUCCACAUUAGCCCUAAAUCGAGAAUACAUGGUUAGGAGCAUCAUUAUAUACCUUGUGAAGAAUACUGUUGAUAUGAAGAUGACUUUUUGGGAGUUGCAACACCUAUGCGCAUGGGCCUACUUGAGCAAUAAAUACCAUUCAUCUCCACCAUUGCUCUUGACCUCUCAUUUUCAUCAGCAAACCUAACAAAACCAUAACCUUUUGAACAGCCAGUGUUUGGAUCAGUUACAACUUUUGCUCCCUUGACAGAUGGAUAUUUACUGACAAAGGUUUCCUGCAACAUAGCAUCAGUCACAUCUGCAGCCAAAUCGCCAACAAAUAUAGAUAGGUCAGAACCAGCUUCCAAUCGCCUGUCACCUGCAAAACUUGCCCAGUUAAGGCGGAAGGGCUGAUCUGUGUUUGGCAUCACAGAGUUAUUAUAGUUCUGCAAAACUUUCUCAGCUGUUGAAUGUGAGUAGAACUCAACAAAUCCAUAACCUUCUGGCUGACCAGUCUGCUUAUUGCGUAUUACUUUAACAGAGGAAACCUGUAGAUUUAAUGACAAAAAUAUUAGGGAGCAAAGGGUACCCAGGACUACAGGGACAGCAUUCUCUGCAGGAGAACCUUAAUAGAUAAAAAAAAAAGAAUGUGGAAUAAUAUGUAUGCAAACAGCGACAGCUAACUGGAGUUAAGAGCUCCAACAACAGGAAUCCAUGGUUCACAAUAAAAUUAAUGUUACACAUGAAGGUCCAAAUGCACAUAUCAAAUGAAAGACAAAAGAAAUAAUCAUAUUAUAUAUACCCAAUGUACUUGGCAGAAUACGACAAAUAAUAGGGAAAAUACAAAACUAUAACCUGUAACUCUGCACAUUAAUAAAAUAAGGAUUAAGGAACAAUUUUAUCUUGUAUCAAACAAGUAACUUUGGAUUUUGGCAAGGAAGCCAGGACAUCUCAGAUUGUCAAAAUCUGAUGUACUGAAAACUUGACCCUCAGCUGAUUAUAAUUUACAGUGCCAUAAUGGAUCCUAUGUAUGCAUCUUAGUUAAAGCUCUCUUAAAUGUCACCUUCCUUCAAACAUCACCAGCAAUUUUAUGAAGAAGGGAUUUUGCAUACUUGCUUGACUUACAGAUUGAUUGCUUGAUAAGGUUUUGACUGAAUUGGGUUUUGCAAAGAAUUAAAAGCUGAGUUUGGAAUUCUGAAAAAUUAAACCAAUUGUUUGAAAUGUUUUUUUAUGGAGAACACUGGCUCUCUUUACUUGGAGGUAAUGCUAUCAAUUGACCAUCGAAUUUUAUUUGCUUUGAUUAUAUACCAUAUAAAAAUGUUUAUAUCAACUAUUGCACAAUCUAUUAUAGAAAUGACAUAAAUGUAGCUACGCCAUGUUUGCUAAGACAGUCUUUUAGAUUGCUUUGAAUUUUGCAUAGGUUUGUUCAUGUGUAGUGUUUGAGGUGUUGUGUCACUAAAACUUAUUUUAAUUUUGAGUCUUCUGACUAGCUUUAUUUUUUGUGAUAAAGCAAAUAUAUGGCAAAUUAGGCCCACAUUCUUUCCAAAACAUGUAAAUGCAUCUCAUUCCAUAUGAGAAAAUUUUCCUUAAAAGUUCAAAGGUAAUCUAGAUUGGGGCUCCAGCUGUACCAUAUUUAGAUCUAACAACUAGAAAUAUGUUUUUUUUUUUAACUACUAAAUGAAAUCCCAAGCUGUACUUGUUUGAAAUAAAAUGAACUACCAUUCACCCUAGGUUAAGUACUAAUACCACAAAGAAUCUCUGAACACAUUGCCCCCCCCCCCCACAAGAUUAUUACUUUCUAGUUUAACACAUGCUUACUUGAGGUCAAAACAGAUCCAUUUUUCAUCACAUAAUUGCAUGAGAUAAAAUUACUAACAAGAAAAUCAACAAAUGCUUCUUCAUUUCACGAAAGAAAGACUCCUAAACUUCUGAUCUGAUGCCUAAGCAAAUUUCUGGUGCAAUAGAUUUUGACAAAGCAAAGUUUGGUGCAUGCCUGAAGUUCACACAACAAGAAGCUUUAAGCUAGUUAAAUUUCAGUCCCAUACAAAUCUGCAAACAUAAGUGCACACAUUUUUUUUCAUUAAUUGCUGUCAAACAUGUAGGAAUCAAAUAAAAAAAACUGAAUAAAGCAAAACACAUUUCAACAAUAAAGAAAACUUCCUAACCAACGUUCCAAAACCACUUAAAGAAGCUAAUCUUUCAUUCAAGUUAACAUAGAAAUUUCAAUUAAGAAAAUUCAAUAAUAGAAAUUAAUCUCAAAGCCAUGGAAGAACCAUUAAGCAGAAAAUAAUAUUCACAAAACCAGAAAAUAAAAUUCACAAUCCAGAAGUCAAAAACAAUAGUUUUAUUUUUCCAAUACCUCGCCUGUAUGAGAGAAGCAAUUAUGUAGAUAGGUUUCAUCCAUCCAAUGAAGCAAGUCACCAACCCAUAUAGUCUUGACCUCCUCGGAAGCUCCCUGUGGCUGUGAUUUAUAAUGCUUUUGAUACUGCUGUUGCUGCUUUUGGUACUGCUGCUGCUGUUGUUGGUAGUAAGCCAUGUAAUGGUGAUGCUGUUGUGGAUACAUCAUCAUCUGCUGCUGCAUCAUCACCAUAGCAGCCGCCGGAUACUGCAUAGCCGCCAUCCACUGCUGCUGAGGAUGCGGCGGCAUAUGUGGGACCCAUUGCUGCUGCUGCUGCCGCUGAUUCUGAUGUGGCUGUUGCUGCUGUUGCUGCUGCGGUGGCGGCGGCGGGUGUGCUGAUUUCAGAUCAGAACCGUUGGUUUGCUGC